AAUUAGGGUUCGAUUCCGGAGAGGGAGCCUGAGAAACGGCUACCACAUCCAAGGAAGGCAGCAGGCGCGCAAAUUACCCAAUCCCGAUACGGGGAGGUAGUGACAAUAAAUACUGAUACGGGGCUCUUUUGGGUCUCGUAAUUGGAAUGAGAACAAUUUAAAUCCCUUAACGAGGAACAAUUGGAGGGCAAGUCUGGUGCCAGCAGCCGCGGUAAUUCCAGCUCCAAUAGCGUAUAUUAAAGUUGUUGCAGUUAAAAAGCUCGUAGUUGAACCUUGGGUCUGGCUGGCCGGUCCGCCUCACCGCGAGUACUGGUCCGGCUGGACCUUUCCUUCUGGGGAACCUCAUGGCCUUCACUGGCUGUGGGGGGAACCAGGACUUUUAC
rnacentral:rRNA from 1 species